rnacentral:rRNA from 1 species
UACGUAGGGGGCUAGCGUUGUCCGGAAUCAUUGGGCGUAAAGCGCGUGUAGGCGGUCCGGUAAGUCCGCUGUGAAAGUCGGGGGCUCAACCCUCGGAUGCCGGUGGAUACUGUCGGGCUUGAGUACGGAAGAGGCGAGUGGAAUUCCUGGUGUAGCGGUGAAAUGCGCAGAUAUCAGGAGGAACACCAAUUGCGAAGGCAGCUCGCUGGGACGUUACUGACGCUGAGAAGCGAAAGCAUGGGGAGCGAACAGG